AAUAAACGCAACCAUAAAUUUCUGUGCCCAAUUUUAAUUGUCCGUUUUAUUUAAAUUUUUAUGAGUAUUAUUAUUAUUAUUAUUAUUAUUAUUAUUAUUAUUAUUAUUAUUAUAAAAUAUAAAUAGUACUUUAUGCGUGACUUAUUUUUCUUAGUUUUUUCAAAAAAAAAUUAAAUAAGGCGAACGAUUAAAGUUUUUUUUAGAUAAUGACGAUUAAAGUUGGACACGAAAACUUACGGCUGCACUUAUU
rnacentral:pre_miRNA from 1 species